UAACAGUACAGUUAAAGUUUAUUUUAGUCUGAACAUGAAUCAGAGAAACACCAAUAAAAUGUUGUUAUUAUUGCAUAGACCAGAUAAGAAUCCCCCGUGUCUUUGUGGGGGAGAAGCAGUCGAGUCGGACACCUUCAGUUUAGGCAGGCGAACGCACACAUCACAUGUAGACAAACAUUCAUGAAUCGUUGAGUGCACACUGAUCACUUCAUGUCAGAUGUUGGAGGAUCUCCAGCUUGUGUAACACUGACCAUCUCCAUGGGAAAUGGUCACAGGAAAAAGGCACAGUUCAUCCAGACCAAUGUUUCAAGUCACUGAUUGGCUCCUCCGGUUUGCAGCCGUCUGUAAGGUAGACGUGUUCUCUACUCGUCUGCAUGACAGAGUAACUGCAAUGUUUCAAAUUAUUUCAUACUUUAAAAAUAAAUACAUAAAUCCUUUAUAAUGUCCAUCCACAUUUAUACCCCCCCCCACCAAAGCAGUGGAAUGAAUAUUAAUUUAAUGUGAGAGCUUGAGUUACAGCACACAGCUGCCUGUGGAGGCGGCAGUGUGCUCGUUUGCUUGCUGCAUCCGCUCACAGCUACUGCAGACAGCCUUGGAAGAACAGGGUGCCACCCGGGCAUUUAUGUCUUAUGUAUCGAUUUGCUCACGAUUCAUUUUGGUUGGUGCAACACAAUUUGGUGGCCACAUUUAGACAAAGCUUUCUGCUGUUGGAGGAAAGCAGCAGGAAUGUGUUUCAAAGCCUGGGCUGGUGGGACUCUGUAGUCUGUGUGAUGAUUUCAUUCAGUGGGUAAAAAGGCAGCCAUCAGGUCAGCCAGCUCCUCUGUACUCAAACAUCUUUGUCAAUUAUCUGUAUGAAGGCGCGCGCACGCACGCACGCACGCACGCACGCACGCACGCACGCACGCCUGGUAUAAUCAGUCACACUGAUACUGACACAAAAUAAAUGCUCAUCUCAAAAAACCGUCCAAGUGCUGAUGGAUGAUAGUGAAAUAUGCAAAUAUGCUCAAUCACACAUACAAGCUCCACUCAGGGUGAACUAAUCGCUCAGCUGCUCGGACUGAACACUUAGUUUCUCCAUCUCUCAGUCUGCUCGUCAGCACACACACACACACACACACACACACACACACACACACACUCACUUUGCUAUCCUCGUGGGGACAUCCCAUUGACAUAAUGCUUUUCCUAGCUGUAUAGCCUAACCCUUUACACUGGUAUCAUAGACGCUUUAAAUUACAAGACUACUUUGCAGACGAUGACUUUCGUAGCGAGCCCUACGGUUUGGGAGCUGGAGUGGGGAGCCAUGAUAUACCCCUAAUUAAAGAUUGUGAAAUUAUGUAGUUUUAGUUCGUAUUAUUCUCCUGAAUUAGAAGAAGGUGGUAACUAUUACAGUUAUUAGACUGAUUUGUAUUACAUUAGACUGCUGCUUCAGUGUGAAUGAAUGAUAUCGUUUAUACUGCUGAGUCAUAAGAAAUCCUGGUUUCAGAGUCAGGACCUGCUGUUCUGAUAGCAGAGGAGACAGAGCACAUUCCACGGGAGCUUCACCCCCACCGUUGUUGAAGGCAGACAAAAUAGGGAGCAGCCAAGGCCAUAAGUCAGGCUCGCUAGGAGUUAGAGAGAAUGUGAAUGUUUGGGUUUUUACGACUAGGUGGGGGCCAACAGAGGCUAGAAGAGUUUGAGUCACCC
ensembl:lncRNA